UAUCCUAAUUCAUAUCUUCAAAUGUUUUCCAAUGUUUUUUAACUUUUAAAUUUUAUCAAUAUGUAUAUGCCCUAAAAUAUUUGUAAAGAAAAUUAAAAUAUAAUGAUUUUAUAUGAAUAUAAAGAUAAAAUUUGCUUAAUUUUAAAUGUAGAGACACAUUUGCUGGGAUUGAUUAUAGUACUGGUGGAGAAGUCUCAAAUCGCUCAAUGAAGAACGAGGUUAAAAAGAGUUAUUAGAGAAGUCUCACAUUGCUUGGCGUUCUGAAGUAAGAGGUUACGGUUUUUAAAAACUGUUUUAAUUUCACUUUUUAAAAAUUGAAAAUUUAAAAACUUGUUUAUUUUCAAAAACUAUUUUUGAAAAUAGUACUCAAUUUCAGUUUUAGAAACUACAAUACUAGAACAACUAAAAGAAAUUUUUUAUUUUAGUUUUUAGUUUUCAAAUUACAAGUUUUUUAAUGUUAGAAAACAUCUUAUUCAAUCAGUUUUUCUUAAAAAAAAGUUUUUAAAUACAAUUGAAUUUCAAAAACUGCAAUCAAACAAACCCUAUGUCUAUAUAUAAUAUUCAAUUUCUUUAUUUUAGAAGUAACAGUCAGUAGCACUUUACUUAUAUCUGACUUUGUUUAAAUAUUUACCUUGUGAAAGUGUGGGUGUAUUGGAGUACUCGGGUGAGAUUGAGAUAAAUUUAUGUGUUGUAAAAACUUUCACAUAAUGAUUAUUCUUUGGCUGUCGGUUUAGACAACAACCAAAGUUUUUUCCUCCAAUUUUAGGUUUUUCACGUUAAAUUCUUGUGUGGUUGAUCACGUCUCGCUUAUUUUAUUUCUUCAGUUGUUCUAUUUCUUAAAACUGGUAUCCAGAGACUUUGGUUCAAUGGAUAUCACAUUUCGAGUAUGUUGAAGUCGUAUCUUUCACAACAUAAAAGAAUUGUGAUAUUGUGAAUGUGCCGAAGAAGAGCGAUAAGUGAAAGUGUUGUUUAAAAAAGUUUUGGCUAGGAAUUGUCAAACAAUCAAUUACCCCAAAAGUUUAAGUUGUUGGGUAAGGGUUAAAUGAAUGAUUUUAUAUUAUAUUCUAACACACCCCCUCAUGCAAGAGUCAUUUGAGCUUGAAACGUGGAUAAAUGCACAUGCUCACCUACCAUAUGCUUAAAUUCCACUUUUUAAUUAGAAAGUGAGGGGAUCGGAGCAAGGAUUGAACUCUAAACCGCUAAGUUAUAGAAGCUUUGGUACCAUGUAAAAAAUCAAGUAUCUCAAAAGCUUAAGUUGUUGAGUAAUGGCUAAAUGAAAGGUUUUAUAUUAUAUUCUAACAGGAAAAACUCGGUUUUUAAGUGUGUUCUUGUGAUCCACCUCCCUUGGAGAGCUGCAAGUGUGAUGUUUGUGUUUGUAAAAUAAUGUUCUUGCUAAUGUGCAGAGAGUUUGUCAUCAGUCAAGGAACUCUAGGAGAAGCAAGAAGUGUUAUAUCAGGAAAAAAAAAGGUAUCUCAAAUUGUUGCUGAAUGAGCCGUUCCACAAUUUGUGCAUGGAUGAUAGUAUGAAAAUCUAUGAUCAUCUUAGUACUUUGAAUGGUUAGUAAUAAUAGAAAAUUAAAAAAAUUGUGCAUAUAAUAUUAUCAUAAAAUAAAUAUUAGGUACAAAAUUAUUAGGAAUUUAACUAUAUUAAUUAUUGAAAAUUACAUAUGUAAAUAAAAAUUAAAAGUUUUUUUAUAAAUGUAGUUCUAAUAUAUUUUGAUAAAAUUAGAAUACUAAUAAUAGUUUUUUCAACUUGCAUAUGAUAACUUAUGAUAAUUUUAUAUAUAUAUAUAUAUAUAUCGUAUGAAAAAUAUCUACUUAUAUAAGGACAAUUAUAAUAAAUCAUGACCAUUAAACCUGAUAAUAAAUGGUCAUGAUUAUAAGAUUAAGUCACGUGACUUUUUUAACAUGUCACAAAAUCAUUUUUUUUUGUAAAAUUCUAACAUUGGAUUCAUAAAUCUCUAAUCUCAUAUUUUGAGUGAUACAAUCUUCCUUAGUUGCUUUAUCAUGAGAUAUACAAAUUUCUCUAAAGACCUUAUAUCUUGACUUUUCAGGGAACUCAACGUAUAUAUUCUCUAUCGUCCAAGAGACAUAAGUCCGGUCUGAAAAAUGCAUUGUCCAAAGUUUAUUUGACUAGUCAAUGAAAGAACUGUUCCACUCACUUGAAGAAGGAAGUAUGGUUCAUAGAAAAAUCUAAAGAAAGACCUAGGUUAUAAGUAGCUUGAGAAACUAUAUCAAAUCAUGUGAGUUACAAAAGGCAAAUUGCACAAAGAGAUAAACUGGAGUUCCUUAGUGUCAGAGCUUGUACACAUUUGUAUAAGAAUAACUUGAUCACAAUCUUUCUACAUCACUCAUUGAGAAGAGAUCUUAGUAGAAGUAAAAUCCUUUUCGAAUUUGGGAAAAGUCUUGUCAAAUAGUUGUUAGGAGAAGUUAUAUUGAAUAGUUGUUGAGGAGAAGUUCUUGAUACUUGUUAGUGGAAGAACUUGGUGAAUAUCGAGGCUGAGACCUAGCCCAUCAUUUAGGGUGAACCAGGAUAAAAUCUCUUAUGUGGUUCUUGUUCUUGUUUGAUUCAAUUUCUUUUUAUCAAUAACGC
rnacentral:lncRNA from 1 species